GAAAUGCGAUACUUGGUGUGAAUUGCAGAAUCCCGUGAACCAUCGAGUCUUUGAACGCAAGUUGCGCCCGAAGCCAUUAGGCCGAGGGCACGCCUGCCUGGGUAGGCGGGGCUACCCGCUGAGUUUAA
rnacentral:misc_RNA from 1 species